GCAUAACAUUUUAAUUCGCGAGCGGAGGUAACGGGGGUUUCAGCACUUGGGUCAGAUUUCUUUUUUAAGUCGGUGAACCAGAAGACAGGUAAAAACGAGUACAGUCUUCAGUACAAAUUUUCCUAUAAAAAGUGUCGUUUGCAGUAGGAUUCCACAGACCAACUUGAGUCUUCUCUUGCAGAGGUAUACAGCUACUCAAUCUUCAAAGCUCUACUUAAUUCUUUUUCAAAACUACUGAAAAUGACUUGUAAAAUUGCCAUUUAUUGUCUCCUUCUGGUUCUGGUAGCCAUGAUUGGAUUGGUGUCGGCAGCUCCACCAACUGGAAGAUCGCAAGGUUUUAAACAUUAUUGUGAAAAGAAAACGACCAGCAGUGGAAAUACGCAAUAUUUUUUUGGGUAUGAGACAGUACAACUCCCUUCCGACUGGAAAGGAUCGACUGAGGAAUCAAGCUCGACCAGCAAAGACGGAGCAGUAACUACGCAUAUCAAUUCUUGGUAUCAACUGACUAAAGAAACAGAUGUUAAGUGCGAAAAUUUAAAAUACCUUUAAAACGAGAAAUACAAAACUCUUUAUCACAUA